UACGGAGGGUGCAAGCGUUAUCCGGAUUCACUGGGUUUAAAGGGAGCGCAGGCGGAUUUGUAAGUCAGACGUGAAAUCCCUCAGCUUAACUGGGGAACUGCGUCUGAUACUGGUGGGCUUGAGUGCAGGAGAGGAACGCGGAAUUCCAGGUGUAGCGGUGAAAUGCGUAGAUAUCUGGAGGAACACCGGUGGCGAAGGCGGCGUUCGUGGACUGCAACUGACACUGAGGAACGAAAGCCAGGGGAGCAAACGGG
rnacentral:rRNA from 1 species